UACAGAGGGGGCAAGCGUUAUUCGGAAUUAUUGGGCGUAAAGGGCGCGUAGGCGGCUUUGCAAGUGACGGGUGAAAUCCCUCGGCUUAACCGAGGAACUGCCUGUCAGACUGCAUGGCUUGAGACCAGGAGAGGUGAGUGGAAUUCCCAGUGUAGCGGUGAAAUGCGUAGAUAUUGGGAGGAACACCAGUGGCGAAGGCGGCUCACUGGACUGGUACUGACGCUGAUGCGCGAAAGCGUGGGGAGCGAACGGG
rnacentral:rRNA from 1 species